AACCUCAAGAAACAAGAAAAACACGAGAAGAAGAGACAAGUCACAGAGCUAGCAUUAUUUUGCCUCCUGUCUUCAGAGGUAUACUCUGCUGUUUUGUGAGACAUUU
rnacentral:snoRNA from 1 species